rnacentral:lncRNA from 1 species
CACUUGGAGAUGAUCAUCCAUAUAGAGUUGCUGGUAUUGAGAGCAUUCAGAUGAGGAUGUUUGAUGGGAUGGUGUGGACUCUCACUAAUAUGAAGCACGUCACUGAUCUGAAGAAGAAUCUCAUGUCACUAGGUUAUCUGAAGCAGGGCUGCUAUAGCUUCAGCAGUCAUACUAGGAGUGGGGUAUUGAACAUCUCAAAUGGAGCCAUGGUAGUGA